GCGUGCGCGAAGAAGGCCUUCGGGUUGUAAAGCGCUUUUUAGCAGGAUGAGGAAGGACAGUACUGUUAGAAUAAGUCUCGGCUAACUACGUGCCAGCAGCCGCGGUAACACGUAGGAGACGAGCGUUAUCCGGAUUUACUGGGUGUAAAGCGCGUGUAGGCGGCUGGGUAAGUUGGAUGUGAAAGCUCCUGGCUUAACUGGGAGAGGUCGUUCAAAACUGCCUGGCUAGAGUGCAGCAGAGGGGAGUGGAAUUCCGAGUGUAGCGGUAAAAUGCAU
rnacentral:rRNA from 1 species